rnacentral:tRNA from 1 species
GGCCUCGUAGCUCACUCAGCUGGUAGAGCGUUCGCUGUACAAAAGAGUAGGCGGCGACCGUGCGUGGGUUCAAAUCCCACCAAGGUUA